rnacentral:rRNA from 1 species
CCUACGGGAGGCUGCAGUGGGGAAUAUUGGACAAUGGGCGAAAGCCUGAUCCAGCCAUGCCGCGUGUGUGAAGAAGGCCUUCGGGUUGUAAAGCACUUUCAGUGGGGAAGAAAGCCUUGGGGCUAAUACCCUCGAGGAAGGACAUCACCCACAGAAGAAGCACCGGCUAACUCCGUGCCAGCAGCCGCGGUAAUACGGAGGGUGCGAGCGUUAAUCGGAAUUACUGGGCGUAAAGCGCGCGUAGGCGGUCUGAUAAGCCGGUUGUGAAAGCCCCGGGCUCAACCUGGGAACGGCAUCCGGAACUGUCAGGCUAGAGUGCAGGAGAGGAAGGUAGAAUUCCCGGUGUAGCGGUGAAAUGCGUAGAGAUCGGGAGGAAUACCAGUGGCGAAGGCGGCCUUCUGGACUGACACUGACGCUGAGGUGCGAAAGCGUGGGUAGCAAACAGGAUUACAUACCCCAGUAGUC